CAGGUACUCCUUUGACACUGGCAGAAGCGGGAGGAGCUACAGUAGAGGACUGCUGUAUGAGAGAAAGAAAAACUUUGAAAUAUAUAUUUCAACCCAACAUCCAAAUUAGAAGAAGGUGCUAAGAAUCUCCCGAUCCACUAGAAGCAUGAUAAGCCCAAAACUACGAAUUGGUACAUGGAAUCUGAGAAGCCUAUACAAAGCUGGGAAAACACACAACACUAUCCAAGAAAUGUCCAAAUACAAUAUCUCUAUAUUGGGAGUGAGUGAAAUGCACUGGCCUGAAAAUGGAAUGUGUAGAAUAGGAAAUUAUAUUAUCUACUACUCUGGUGAGAAUAGCAAACACCAUUGAAAUGGAGUAGCUAUAAUUGUAAACAAUCGUGUAAAUAAAUGCAUCAAGUCUAAAGACUUCCUGUAUCCGAUAGAGUGAUAAUGAUCCAAAUAAAUAGUGCUCCAAUAAAUAUGAAUGUUAUACAAGUUUACGCUCCCAUAGCUGACAGCGAUUAGAAGGAUUUAGAGAAGUUCCACGAAGAUAUAAGCAAUGUACUGAAAACCCUAAAAAGUAAUGAUAUCACAAUACUCAUGGGGGACUUCAAUGCAAAAGUGGGAGAAGGAAGUGAUGCUCCUGUAGUUGAAAAUUUUGGCUUAGGAACCAGAAAUGGUAGAGGCGACAUAUUUGUUAGACUUCUGCAAGGAACAUAGGCAAAGUGUGAUGAAUACUUUCUUCAAGUUGCCAAAAAGAUGCCUCUACACUUGGAGAUCACCAGCAGAUACACGAAAUAAUGUAGUAAGGAACCAAAUCGACUAUCUUACAAUAAACAAAAGAUUUAGAAACUCAAUAAAAUCCGAUCAUAAUCUACUACUUGCUGAAGUCCAGCUGAAACUAAAAAGGAUGAAAAACCCAAACCCUGCUAAACCAAGAAUCGACAGAGACUUUAUCAUUAAACAUGGAGGUAAGAUUAAAGAAGAAGUAGAAAAUCAUUUAAGGGAAACCAACAACCUGAAUGAUGAUGAUGUAGAAGCGAACUGAAAUAAAUUUAAAAAUGCAAUAGUAGAGGUAACAAAUUCAAAACAGAGAGAGGGGUACCACAAGAAACAACAGUGGAUGACAGAGGAUAUUCUUCAUCUGAAAGAAGAUCUUAUAAAAAUUAAAAAAAGAAAAAUACAAUGAAUUCCAGAAAACAAUUAGAAGAAAAAA